rnacentral:lncRNA from 12 species
CUGUUCUGGAGCAAAAUAACUGACCAGUUUUUGGUUUUAUUUUAUUUUAUUUUAUUUUUUAUUUUUUGUUUUUUAUCAAGAGCGGAAGGGAGACCCUAUGUUGACAAAAGAAGCUACAGAUUUCUGUGGAUACUGAAAUCCUAUAAAAUUGGUAUCUUUCCUUUUCAACUUUUAAAAGUCUUUUUCAGAUAACUCAAGCAUCUGCUUUAUGACAGGACUUCAAUCAGCAUGGAGUUAAGCUCGGCUGGGUGACAACUGAUGUUCUUUCAACAGCAUAAAAAUCUGACCUAUAAGAACCUGACCUGAACUGGCUUAUGAGCAAGAAAUGAAAUUUCAUUUUAUGUGAAUCAUUGUGUAUUUUUACUCUCUUUGUUUUAUUACAAUAGCCUACUCUACUUAAUUUGUUCUUAUAAAUUGGGUUAGCACAGUGUUUUAACCUAGAAAAUAGCAUUGCUCAUUCAAAUAUGAAAGUUAGCCACUUACAGUAUUUAUGAUUUUGGAAUUAAAUUUUAACAGCUAAAAGCUCAUAUUUUAUAGAUCGAUCUUAAUAAUUCCCUAAUAUAAAAUUAUACUCAUAAUCACUACAUUAAUAUGCAAGCAGAAUU